GUACACUCGGGCGAAGAGGACGACCAUCUCCGCUAGAGGAGGAGCGGUCUUCAGUCAAGGGUAUAUGAGUAGCUGCGAUAAACUGAUAGAAA